UACCAUCACAAGGGGAGCGAAAGCUGAGAAUGAGUAGUCUAACUAUCUCUAAACCCUAGAACCUGAUAUUGAUAAUGCAAGCGUAGGAAUCGUGAUGGAGUAAAUAA
rnacentral:ncRNA from 1 species